CCCUUAGAUGUUCUGGGCUGCACGCGUGCUACAAUGGCGUUUCCAACAAGUCUGCGAACCCGAGAGGGCCAGCGGAUCUUCGAAUUGGCGUCGUGAUCGGGACAGUCGAUUGCAAUUAUUUGACUCAAACGAGGAAUUCCUUGUAAUCGCGAUUCAUCAUAUCGCGCUGAAUACGUCCCUGCCCUUUGUACACACCGCCCGUCGCUCCUACCGAUUGAGCGAUCCGGUAAAUGUUUUGGAUUGGUGCCGGGGCGGCUAGCUGCCGGUCGCUACGAAAUUUUGUGAACCUUAUCGCUUAGAGGAAGGAAAAGUCGUAACA
rnacentral:rRNA from 1 species